ACAACUGAUACCUCUUGCACAUGUAUGGAAUGGUGAGCAAAGUUUCAGGUGUGA
rnacentral:pre_miRNA from 1 species